AGCCAUGCCGCGUGUAUGAAGAAGGCCUUCGGGUUGUAAAGUACUUUCAGCGAGGAGGAAGGCGUUGUGGUUAAUAACCGCAGCGAUUGACGUUACUCGCAGAAGAAGCACCGGCUAACUCCGUGCCAGCAGCCGCGGUAAUACGGAGGGUGCAAGCGUUAAUCGGAAUUACUGGGCGUAAAGCGCACGCAGGCGGUCUGUCAAGUCGGAUGUGAAAUCCCCGGGCUCAACCUGGGAACUGCAUCCGAAACUGGCAGGCUAGAGUCUUGUAGAGGGGGGUAGAAUUCCAGGUGUAGCGGUGAAAUGCGUAGAGAUCUGGAGGAAUACCGGUGGCGAAGGCGGCCCCCUGGACAAAGACUGACGCUCAGGUGCGAAAGCGUGGGGAGCAAACAGGAU
rnacentral:rRNA from 1 species